AGGGUGGGGGGAUGAGAGAACAAAGAACAAAAUAAAUAAACACCCACCUCCUUUAUCUUUCCGUCUCCUUCUGAUCUCUUUCUCUUUCUCUCUUUCUCUGCAACUCCCUCCUUGAUGUGAUUCUCCACCAACAUCUCCAAAAGAAACCCCAUCAACCUUUACAAAAGAGAAAGCUAGCUCUAAGAGCCAUGGUUUUCUCAUCCGUUCCCGUCUAUCUGGAUCCACCCCACUGGCAACAACAGCAACAAAAUUAUCAACAACCGCCGGGCGGUCAUGGAAGUGAGAAUCCCCAACUCCCACCUCAGCCGCAGCCUCCAACAGUUGGAGGCGGCGCCACAGGCUCGAUCAGGCCAGGUUCCAUGGCUGAUCGAGCCCGGCUAGCCAAGAUUCCACAGCCUGAGGCCACCCUCAAAUGCCCGAGAUGCGAAUCCACAAACACCAAGUUUUGCUACUUCAACAACUAUAGCCUCACCCAGCCUCGCCACUUUUGUAAGACCUGCCGGCGCUAUUGGACAAGAGGAGGUGCACUAAGGAACGUGCCGGUUGGCGGUGGUUGUAGAAGAAAUAAAAGAAGCAAAAGCAGUAGUAGAUCAAAAUCUCCGGCUACCGGCGAGCGACAACCUGGGUCAACUUCCACUAGUACUGUUUCUUCCGGUUGCUGCGCCGCCGAUAUGUUAGGCCAUUUGCCUCCUCCACCACCACCGAACUUGUCUUUUUUGCCUCCAUUGCAUCAUCUUAAUGAUUAUGCCUCCGGGGACAUUGGCUUAAAUUUCGGAGGAUUUCAGCCUCAUAUGGCAGCAACAGGCGGCGAUGUUCAAUUUCAACUUGGUACUAGUUCAAGUGGAGCUAGGUCUUUUUUAUCAACUGGCCUUUCUGAGCAGUGGAGACUGCAACAGUUUCCUUUCUUGGCUAAUUUGGAAGCACCAAUGGGGUUGCUUCAAUAUGAUCAGGGGGAGAAUGUUGAGCCGACGAGCUAUGUUGGGGUAGCUGGGCAGCUCCGGUCUAAGCCAUUGGAUUCUGAACUAUCAGUGAAAAUGGAAGAAAAUCAAGGGCUGAAUUUGUCAAGAUCUCAUUUGGGUACUUCAGGAAAUGAUCAAUACUCAUGGGGUGGUGGCAAUGGCAAUGGCAAUGGCAACGGCAAUGCAUGGACUGAUAUUUCUGGUUUCACCUCUUCCACCACCCACAUGUUGUGAUUUUGAAUAUCUCGAUCUCUUCUCAUCUCUAAACAAAUGAUCGUCUUAGAAUUUCAUUCAACAACCCUAACUUCGCAAUUUCCAAUACAAAAGAAUCUAAGAAGGUGAAAUGGGACUGGAACAAUUCCUUUGUGAUGAUCGAUCUGCUCAACAAGUUAGAAAUGGCUUAUCAAAGUGGUGAUAGUUGACUUGCUUCACCACCGCCAAUCGAACCCUCAAUUACUUCAAUCAUCUCUGUGGCAAUUCCAAAAUUCCUAGAUGUAUCUUUUGCUCCAUAAUUUUAGGAAUUUUACCCCCCAGGUUAUUAGUGUUUUACCCUUCGAAGAAAAACAGUAGUUCAAAGACACGUAUAAGUUUGUGCUCCAUGCUUUUGGACCAAGUGUGAAAGUGAGACAGAGGAUUUAAUAAUAAUAACUUUUGUAAUUGUAACUGUGAGACGUACUUAUUUGUUGUUUUGUGUGGAGAGGCGACUAGAAUGAUUAUGUAAUUAUAAGAAAUUUGACCAAAUGGGAUCGAUCGUACUA